GCCGGCUUAGCUCAGUUGGUAGAGCAGCUGCCUUGUAAACAGCAGGUCGCCCGUUCGAUUCGGGCAGCCGGCACCA
rnacentral:tRNA from 1 species